rnacentral:rRNA from 1 species
UACGAAGGGGACUAGCGUUGUUCGGAAUCACUGGGCGUAAAGCGCACGUAGGCGGAUAUGUCAGUCAGGGGUGAAAUCCCGGGGCUCAACCUCGGAACUGCCUUUGAUACAGCAUGUCUUGAGUCCGAUAGAGGUGGGUGGAAUUCCUAGUGUAGAGGUGAAAUUCGUAGAUAUUAGGAAGAACACCGGUGGCGAAGGCGGCCCACUGGAUCGGUACUGACGCUGAGGUGCGAAAGCGUGGGUAGCAAACAGG